rfam:Mustela putorius furo unplaced genomic scaffold scaffold00037, whole genome shotgun sequence.
AUGUGCUCACUUUGGCAAUAUAUACACUAAAAUUGGAACAAUACAUAGAAAAUUAGCAUGGCCCCUGUAUAAGGAUAACACACAAAUAAAGAUAACAAAGUAUGGCCUUU